CUAUUUAUAGUACCCGUCUUGAAACACGGAUUAGGGAGUUUAUCUGUAGUGCGAGUCUUUGCACGUUAACUGUAAAGGCGUAGAGAAAGCAACUGGCGUUUGCAUGGCUACUGAGCAUUACUGAUAGGACCCGAAAGGUGGUGAACUUUGCCUGCACAGGUUGAAGUCAGGGGAAACUCUGAUGGAGGACCGUACGGGUUAUUGAUGUGCAAAUCAUUUUUCUGAUGUAGGUAAAGGUGCGAAAGACUCAUCGAACCACCUAAUAGCUGGUUUCCUCCGAAGUUUCCCUCAGGAUAGCUGUAAUGCAUUUAGUUAAGGGGAGUAGAGAUAUGGGUAGAGGUGCAGGGAGCCUUCGGGUUCUCAACUUAUUUCCAAACUUCGAACCUCCUUGUUAGGCAUUUACCUAACUGGAAAUGCUUAAAUGAAUUAGCGUUACAAGUGGGCUCUGACCGGUAAGCGGUCAUGGCGAAAUGGGAUGAACCAUACGUCUGAAUAAGGUGCCGAAAUGUACUAUCACUGAUACCAUAAAGGGAGUCCAUGUAUUUAGACAGCAGGUCGGUGCCCCUAAAAGCAGGUAUCCGCUAAAGAGUGUGUUAAAACUCACCUGCCGAAUACUAGGGCCCCGAAAAUGAAUGGCGCAUAUAGUACUACCGAUCUCAGACAUCAGUUCUAUUGAACUGAGAGUAGGGGGAUGUGGACAUUUUUGUGAAGGUGCAAUGUGAGUUGGACUGGAAGAAUGUCUAUUACAGAUCCUAAUUGAAGUAGCGAUUAUCCAGGCUUGUAUCCUGGGGGCUGAUGAGGAGUAGGGUUUCUGGACAACUUAAACAGAUCCAGAGUUAGUCGAUCCUAAUCUCAAUAAUGGGAGAAAGGGAGUACAGUUGAUAUUCUGUAACUGACCACAGUUCGCGGCAACGCAUACUAUUUUUCUCCGCCAAUCUUAUACCGUUGGUAGGGAUCUCUUUCCUACAUGACAGUACUAAUACCAGGAAACUGGUCAUCAGCGACUGCGGCGUUCUGCUGCAAAACAUAGCUUCGUUAUGUCAUGGCUAUUGGAUUGGUCCAUGAAGCGAAAAAUAGUUUACUGGUGUCACUCG
rnacentral:ncRNA from 2 species